AGUGAACGCUGGCGGUAGGCCUAACACAUGCAAGUCGAACGGCAGCACAGUAAGAGCUUGCUCUUACGGGUGGCGAGUGGCGGACGGGUGAGGAAUACAUCGGAAUCUACUUUUUCGUGGGGGAUAACGUAGGGAAACUUACGCUAAUACCGCAUACGACCUACGGGUGAAAGCAGGGGAUCUUCGGACCUUGCGCGAUUGAAUGAGCCGAUGUCGGAUUAGCUAGUUGGCGGGGUAAAGGCCCACCAAGGCGACGAUCCGUAGCUGGUCUGAGAGGAUGAUCAGGCACACUUGAACUGAGACACGGUCCAGACUCCUACGGGAGGCAGCAGUGGGGAAUAUUGGACAAUGGGCGCAAGCCUGAUCCAGCCAUACCGCGUGGGUGAAGAAGGCCUUCGGGUUGUAAAGCCCUUUUGUUGGGAAAGAAAAGCAGCAGGUUAAUACCCCGCUGUUCUGACGGUACCCAAAGAAUAAGCACCGGCUAACUUCGUG
rnacentral:rRNA from 1 species